rnacentral:rRNA from 1 species
GACGAACGCUGGCGGCGUGCCUAACACAUGCAAGUCGAGCGGAGGUAAUUAGAGGAAGUUUUCGGAUGGAAUCUAGUUACUUUAGCGGCGGACGGGUGAGUAACGCGUGAGCAACCUGCCUUUCACAGGGGGAUAACGGAUCGAAAGAUUCACUAAUACCGCAUGAGACCACGGGGGUGCAUACUCCAGGGGUCAAAGGAGCAAUCCGGUGAAAGAUGGGCUCGCGUCCGAUUAGAUAGUUGGUGGGGUAACGGCCUACCAAGUCAACGAUCGGUAGCCGACCUGAGAGGGUGAUCGGCCACACUGGAACUGAGAGACGGUCCAGACUCCUACGGGAGGCAGCAGUGGGGAAUAUUGGGCAAUGGGGGAAACCCUGACCCAGCAACGCCGCGUGAGGGAAGAAGGUUUUCGGAUUGUAAACCUCUGUCCUUGGUGAAGAGAGGAAGACGGUAGCCAAGGAGGAAGCCCCGGCUAACUACGUGCCAGCAGCCGCCGCGGUAA